rnacentral:rRNA from 1 species
GAUGAACGCUGGCGGCGUGCCUAAUACAUGCAAGUCGAGCGGUAAGGCUCUGCACAGUUUAUUUGAACGAGGGUAAUCCCCUCAACACUUCUGGCUAGAAGUUGUCGGUGUCGAAUAAAGUGUGUAGAGUACACGAGCGGCGGACGGGUGAGUAACGCGUAAGAAUGUACCCCAAACUGAGGGAUAAGCACCAGAAAUGGUGUCUAAUACCGCAUAUGCUCUUCGGAGUAAAGCUACGGCGGUUUGGGAACAGCUUGCGUCUGAUUAGCUAGUUGGUAGGGUAAUGGCCUACCAAGGCGACGAUCAGUAGCUGGUUCGAGAGGAUGAUCAGCCACACUGGGACUGAGACACGGCCCAGACCUCCUACGGGAGGCAGCAGGUAGGGAAUUUUCCACAAGUGGGGGCAACCCUGAUGGAGCAACGCCGCGUGAUGGAUGAAGGCCUUCGGGUCGUAACUAUCUUUCUCUGUGACGAAUAUGACGGUAGACAGAGGAAGUAA